rnacentral:lncRNA from 1 species
GGUGGAGACCGGGCCUGCUGCUGGGGUUUGGGAGGGGCGGAGAUUGAGGAGCCAAUUGCUGUGCCCUGUUCUGGCAAAAGAACAAGAUGCGUUGCAAGCCAGAGUGAUGAAUUCCACUUUUAACGUCGUCUCCGUGGCAUUCUGCCUAAAUGAUGGGCAUGGAAAUGGUGCUGAGGGAUGUGGGCUGAAUCGAGAACACAGGGACUUUUGUCUUCUGGGCUAGUAAUUUGAAAUAGUGAAUUAAAAUUGAGAGAGC